ACAGCAGUAGCCGCGGUAAUACGUAGGUGGCAAGCGUUGUCCGGAUUUAUUGGGCGUAAAGCGAGCGCAGGCGGUUUCUUAAGUCUGAUGUGAAAGCCCCCGGCUCAACCGGGGAGGGUCAUUGGAAACUGGGAGACUUGAGUGCAGAAGAGGAGAGUGGAAUUCCAUGUGUAGCGGUGAAAUGCGUAGAUAUAUGGAGGAACACCAGUGGCGAAGGCGGCUCUCUGGUCUGUAACUGACGCUGAGGCUCGAAAGCGUGGGGAGCGAACAGGAUUAGAUACCCGAGUAGUCCCUGUCUCUUAUAC
rnacentral:rRNA from 1 species